CUUUUUUUUUUGGACGGAAACGUUAAUGAAAAACAUAUUAUUUCGCGAAACACAUUAGUUACAUAAGUAGUUGCACGUCCAGCAGGUCAUCGGACUAAAAGCAAAGCAGCAAAUACAGACUCCUAUUGUUAUUUUUCUCUUCUCCCGCUAAUAUGAUAUGAGUAGACGAUAAGGAUGAAGUCAGCCGGCAUGCCCUCGCUCCGAUCCGACGCCGUUCGCCUGCAAGAACCGAACACGCCCUCAGAUCUGACAACAUGAAAAAGGAACAGAAACGGCGAUCCGUCCGGCAACGACACCUUACUCUCGAUCUACGAUGCCUCGGACGAACGGAAUGAACACGAAAUAUCUCACCUGAGUGCGAACCGGGGGGGCUCAGUCGCUGUCGCUGCUGCUGCUGUCGCCGCCGUGCUCGUGCUUCUUCUUGUCCUUCUUCUUCUUCUUGUCCUUCUUGUCCUUCUUCUCGUGACCCUCCUUGUCGUGGUGGUCGCCGCCGUGGCCGCC